UCAAGUACUUAAGCCUCUGUGUACUCUUCCUUGAAUAUAACUAGAGCAUUCACUUUGGGGGUGUGGGGGAAUGCAAAAAGGUCAUAAUCGUAAGAGUUUCACAAAAGCAGCAAUGCUGCUGACUUCCAAGAUCUAGAAUAACUAUACGGAAGUGCACUUCUACCAUCUGUUAAAGACAAACUGCCACUAACAGGUUAAUUUCUUUCUGGAAAAAAAAAGAUUUUUUUUUUUUCCCUAGGAUCCACCACCAUUCUGACUUACACUAAGGAUUACAAAUGGAGCAGCAACAAGCACUUCUGCAGGUCAUAAGAGGCUGCAAAAGCUUCUCUAUUUGCUACUAAAUUACGCUAAAAGAGAAGUUAAAUAAAGUAAGAUUGCCCAAAAUCUCCUCUUCUUGCUCCCCUGCCCACCCCCAACCACGUCAUCAAAUUGUGGUCUGAGUCAUCGGGAAAAAAAUCCAUCAAGUUUUGCAGUUUAAGGAUCCUUGCUAGGACACAACCAUCUUCUACAUGUCUUGUAGACAUGGUCCUGGGCCUCGGCAUCUUCUUUUCAGUAUGGGGAGUUCUGCCAGGAUUUCAUCACUGUCUUUCAUUUCACUCUUUGUUUUUUUUUUUCAUUUGUCACAAAGUAGUAAGUGCAGAAGGAUCUUUUUCUCACACCGUUUUUCCAAUUCAUCCUGGAUUUACCAGAGUAAGAAAUCCACACAUGGUUUGGAGCAGGGAACAUCUGGAUUUAAUGCAUUUCCAAAGAAAAGGUUAGUUUGUGUGAAUGUAUGAAAAGCACUAGAGAGCAUUCCUUAUUCUUUCAGCUUGCACAGCCAGAAUCCUUUUUUUUUUUUUUUUU